AAUAUUGCACAAUGGAGGAAACUCUGAUGCAGCGACGUCGCGUGAGUGAUGAAGGUCUUCGGAUCGUAAAACUCUUUCCUAAGGGACGAUAAUGACGGUACCUUUGGAGGAAGACUCGGCUAACUAUGUGCCAGCUGCCGCGGUAAUACGUAGGGGGCGAGAGUUUUUCGGAUUUAUGGGGCGUAAAGGGUGCGUAGGCGGCCUUGUAAAGCAGAGGUGAAAGUGCAUGGCUUAAAUGUGGUAAGCAUUUGAAACUGCAGGGCUUGAGUACAGGAGAGGAGAGUGGAAUUCCUAGUGUAGCGGUGAAAUGCGUAGAUAUUAGGAGGAAUACCAGUGGCGAAGGCGACUCUCUGGACUGAUACUGACGCUGAGGCACGAAAGCGUGGGGAGCAAACA
rnacentral:rRNA from 1 species